rnacentral:rRNA from 1 species
UACGUAGGGUGCAAGCGUUAAUCGGAAUUACUGGGCGUAAAGCGUGCGCAGGCGGUUUUGUAAGUCUGUUGUGAAAUCCCCGGGCUCAACCUGGGAAUGGCAAUGGAGACUGCAAGGCUAGAGUUUGGCAGAGGGGGGUAGAAUUCCACGUGUAGCAGUGAAAUGCGUAGAUAUGUGGAGGAAUACCGAUGGCGAAGGCAGCCCCCUGGGCCAAUACUGACGCUCAUGCACGAAAGCGUGGGGAGCAAACAGG